UUUCAGAAACCAAAUUCUCAUGCAAAAACCCAAAAGAAAAUUCGCUCAACUUUUUCCAAAAUCAAAUCCUUUUCUUUCAAAUUUAUUAACUCGUAUGUAUCUCACAAACAUACACCGCCAACUCAGAGUUGAAACCAAACUACCUUAUACCUGUCCUUCAAAAACCACACAAACCAAUCCAAUAUCCCAUUUUUUCGUCACCUCCAUUUCUAGGAAAACUACUUCCGGCGAUAAAUUCCGCAAUUUUUUCAAUCACCGUCGGUGUCGUUAUCACAAAAGCACAAUUUCAACACUGCGCUUUAUUCUUUUGCGUCAAUGAAAAGGUCACCCGAUAACCUUGCCAGCCACCUGAAAAACCUCGUAUCCGCAAAAAAAAAAGGAGAUUACCGAGUCGUAAAAAAAAUACAAAAGCUAGGUACCCACGAUACGUUAAAAAGAAAUUAUCAUUUUCAGGAAAAGCACUUAUAGAUCACUUCGAAGAUACCUUAACGAGCGCCAAAAACACUAUAUAAGAAGACCUGUAACAAUGUGGAAAUCUAUAGUUUGUUCGCGAUCAUAUAUUUGCACUGUUUCGGGCGUCUAGUUUCACUUUUUCGAGUAAUCCGUGAUUUUCUUUUUUCAUUUCUCGAAAGAAAAAAAGAAGAAAAAAUGGCUUUCUCGUUGAGAAAACUCGCGAUUGUUGCGUUGAUGGUCGCAGUGGCCAUGUUUUUGAACGUGUCUUUAGUCAGUGCCGAACCUGUAGCUGCUACUAUCACGUUCUUCUUUUUAGUUGCAAUUGGAUUUUUCUUUAUUCCAAUUUUUUUUAUACCGCCAAUCGGACCGAUCUUCUUCUUCUUUUAUGCGGGUUUCGUUAUUUUUUUCACCAUCCUGAUUUUCUUCGCUCCAUUUCCUUAAGAAUGAAGUCAGCAUUAAUCGGAAGUUCCAACAAAAUGAAGAAAUUCCGUCACCCCACAUGUCUCUACGUAAUAUAAUGAACAGAAUAUUUUUACGUAUACUUACAGUAAAUUUUUAGAUAUCUAGCUAAUAUUUGAAUAUGCAUACUAAGAGUAGCUUUAGUAAAAAUAAACCUCUGUUUCCGACAAA